AACAUCUUUGACAGUCCAGUCUUUCCACUGAAAUGACAGUCAAUCAAUCCGUCAAUCAAUUAAUACGCAUAUUAAUAAAAGACAUGAUUUAAGAAAGCUGGGAGGUCUGGAGUGGAAGAAAUGCCACAAAGGAAGGAUGGAAGGAGGAAGCCAUGAUGGACGGGUGAAACUGAGCAAAAUACAACACUCCAACCUGCCACCUGCAGAAGUUCUCAGACGAUUCAGACGACAUUGAGAGAGUCAUCUCCUACAAGUACCUGGACGUUCACCUCAACAAGAAACUGGACUGGACUGACAACACUGACGCCCUGUACAAAAAGGGCCAGAGCAGACUCUGCCUGCUCAGGAGACUGAGGGCCUUUGGAGUACAGGGUC